AAGAAUUUGAGUGUUCUAGGUGGUUGAGAUUCAGACCCUGACAGUUGUAACUGAUGGACUAGGCUGGGCACUGCUGAUGAACCUCACAUUCCUGAGAGAAAAAUCAUCCAAAAGUAUUCUUCAACUUUCUAGAAGUCAUUAUGAGGGGCCCUGACUAACUGAGGAGACUCAUACAGAAACCCUUGCCCCAUCACAGAUACCUGGUUACCAUGUUCCUUCAAGAUGGCCAUCCCUUGGGAGGAUUACCCUUGGGCCUCAGAGAAGAAAGAAAACCAAAAGGCAUAAACAAUAAAUUGAAAACUGAAGGUGAAAGUCAAGUCUAAAGAUUUAGAGUAAGUGUUGUAGGUAGUAUGAAGUUAUAUCCUUAAAGGGAAUAAACUCUACCUGAGGUAGUAGGACAUUAGUUAGUUAAUGAAUUUUGUCAGCGUGGUUAUUUGUAUAAUUCAUGUGAGUGCACAUUUACAACCUGAGAUGAAUUCCUUUACCUUGGUCUGCUUUUGGCUCUAUCUUGGUAUGCAAGGCUGCUAUAAAAUGGAAGAUGCAAACUAAUUACAAGAUUAGGAGAAUUUUCAGAUAGGUGCUUAUCCUUGACCUGGCCCUACUAGAAAAUGAGGAUCACUUCAACAUGCAUUGGAGAAUUAAUAUUCCUGGCAGGCUAAUUCUACUUCUUUGCUCAAUCCAGGAGAAAAGAGAAUAAAAUGAAAAUAACAAAAAUAAUUUUCUCUCAAGGCCAUCAUUGCACUUUGUCCAAGUCUAGCAAGCACCAUGUGACAAGUAAGGGGUCAGGUAUAUGGCUUGACACCUGUUCCCAGGCAGCCUGCUUAGGUGCCCACACUGUCCUGCACUGGAAGUUUUUCUCCCUGAAUGAUCCAGGCCGGCUCUCAGUGCAACAUGAACUCACUGAUUCUUUGCCAACCUCUCAGUUCCCUUGAAGUGGCAGGUGCUUAAAAGCCUGCCUCCUGUUGCAAACCUCUGACUUCCAACAGCAUCCCCUUCUUGGCUACACUUCUGAAUCUGGAGUUUUAGCAACCAAAUAUCAGAGGCUGGCAGAAAUCUCAGACGAUGUUCUCCUGGAAUCACCUAGCCUGAGGGGUGUGUCCUUAUGAGGUCAAGGCUUUCAGAGGGGUUGCAGAGAGUGUCAGCUGGGGUCAGAUGAGAACAGCAGUCUGACUCAACAGACAUUUAUUGCACUCCUGCUGUAUGCCAAGAAAUGCACCGAAAUCUGGAAGUGUGUAACACAGAAGAAAAGGCUUAUCGCCAAGGAGCCCUCACCUGGAAAGAGAGAUGGAAUCUCAGCCUAAGGUGGUGAAAUGUUGACAUGCUACCAGGAGGACAAAACGGCAGAGGACUAAUUUUUACUUCCUGUUGGCUCAAGCAGGAAACUCAAGCCAGACUGAUUCCUCCAUGUUUGACUUACAACUUCGAGAGUGUCUAGCCAGGUAUCCUGAGUGCCAUCAAGCAAGUAACAGCUGGAGAACGUGCAGCGAAAGAAACCACACAACAAGGAGCCAAAUCACAUUUUUCACUUAGUACGGAACAACUUUAGGAUAAGUUGACACCUAACACAUUGCAGUCCGAUGUUUGCCACCGUGUCUGAUACACGGCACUGUGUGUAUAUCAUGCAAUUAUGUUCUUCACGUGAUUGUUCACAUAAACUUAUUACAUUUUGGAACAGAUACAGCUAAAAUAAAUCUCUUUUGAAUUUUCAGCAGAAAAAUGCUAUUGGUUAAUACCAAUUAAUAUACGAUUAGACUAUGUGUAGUUGUUUUGGGCAUAUGACACUAAGGGUUCUGCACCUAGUUCCAACGUGUGAAUUUUUCCCCUCACACCAAGCAAUGCUCCAACACCCACUAGGCAUCCUACAAUUCAACUCAAUAGGUUUCUCAUGCUGUCUCUACAGAGAUAGUCCCACAAGACUGCCCUCCACUUCGAAUAGCUUUUGGCAAGUCUAGGCUUGCUACUUUUGCUUCUGACAGACUCAGAGGUUCCCAUGACACCCUCAUUUUUUCAUUCUAUUUUAUUUUAAUAUUUAUUUUUGAGAGAGAGCGAGAGAGCGAGAGAGAGCGAGUGCACAAGUGAGGGAGAGGCAGAGAGAGAGGGAGACAGAAUCUGAAGCAGGCUCUGGGCUCUCAGCUGUCAGCACAGAGCCUGAUGCGGGGCUUGAUCUCACGAACCGGAAGAUCCUGACCUGAGCCGAAGUGGGACGCUUCACCGACUGAGCCACCCAGGUGUCCCCCCCUCCUUGGUUUUGAUUAAUUUGCUGGAGCUGCUCAUAGAAGUCAGAAACAUUUUACUUACUAGGUUACCACUUUAUCAAGAAAGGUACAACUCAGGAGCAGCCAGAUGGAAAGACCUACAGGACGAGGUUCGGAAAAAAGGCUUAAAGCUUCCGUGUCCUUCCAGAGCAAGUCACCCACCCCAAACUGCCAUGGGUUCACACACCCGGAAGCUCUUCGAACCUAGUCCUUUUGGAUUUUUAUGGAGGCCUCAUUACACAGGCAUGAUUGAUUAAGUCAUUGGCCUUUGGUGAUUGAACUCGAUCUCCAGCCCCUCCCC